CUGCUCUCAUAAAGAUAAAAUGUUUAUAUAUAAAAUACAUAUAUACAUAAAACGUCGUCCAAAACGAAAAGAAAAGUGAAGAGAUUUAACAUAGCACAAAUUUCAUUGCACAAAUCUAAUCGUCUGUACCUAAAGCUAUUGAAAGACACAAAUACAAAGAAUAGACA